UGCCAGCCGCCGCGGUAAUACGGAGAGUGCAAGCGUUGUUCGGAAUCAUUGGGCGUAAAGGGCGUGUAGGCGGCCCGUUAAGUCUGGUGUGAAAGCCCUCGGCUCAACCGAGGAAGUGCACUGGAAACUGGCGGGCUUGAGUAUGGGAGAGGGAAGCGGAAUUCCCGGUGUAGAGGUGAAAUUCGUAGAUAUCGGGAGGAACACCUGUGGCGAAGGCAUCUCUCUGGGUCGAUAUUGACGCUGAGGCGCGAAGGCGUGGGUAGCGAACGGGAUUAGAUA
rnacentral:rRNA from 1 species